GGUUGAAGACGGCCCCGUGGGUGCGAGUGCUGAGGUACACCGAGUCCGCAGGAUGGAUGGAACCAUAGAGGAAAGAGCAAGGUACCUCUCACACUUGUUGAAGCAGCUGGCACGUAUCUCAUGGGUCUAUCUUCACACCAUGCUAUGGUGCCAAAGGGAACUACAGCACCCACCUCAGUGAGCAGAGAACUGAGUGACAAAGAGGAGUCUCAGAACUUAACAAGCCGUGCCUAAGAAAGAGGAAAAAAAUGCACGUCCGUCUGACUGGGAUACAACUGGAUCCCAAAGGAAGGGUUCAUCCACAGGAGGAACUUGGGCAGACUGGGACAACCAGUUCCAGGGAUUUAUACUCUAGCAGACAAAGGUCUGCACUGGCUGUGACUCCCUGCAUAAGGAAGACAAGCUGUGUAGAUAGAAAGCCCUGCAGAGGCACUGAAAGAGGAGAGUUUUGCUUCGUGGUUCCAGUGCGCUAUCUAGUAUACUUCUGCAGCACCACACCUUCUCCAGCACCUGCUCCUGCUUUGUUUGGGGGCCAGAAGCACCCAGCAGCCAACAGUUCUCCCUAGCACCUACGGGGCUGUUUUGUAACAGAGGCUUCCAGGAGACAUUUCCGCAGGAAUAGCUUUCCCCAGCACCCUAGAAGUGCCAGCAGGUUCUGUAGGGUGGAUUUCUAGCAAGUUCCACUACCACAGAUUCCCACUGACUUCUUGCCAUUUAAUGAGCCAUGACUGUGUCCUUCCUCUCUAUCAAGGUCUCAAUCAGUCCUGGCCAGUGGAGAGAGGCUUUUCCUUGGGUGAGCUAAGUACUAGGGGUAAUGGCAGUUCCUUAUAUCUGCUUUUCUUAUACCCUUUAAAGUGCUCUAGUUCUUACUAGCCAUGAUCAUUUGUAAUUAAAAACAUCUGUACCAAGUGGACUCUCACUUGUGCAGUGAUAAUCGUGAGUAUUUUCAUUAAAGAUAU